UGUUUGAUCCACACAGCGAUGCGCUACUCCAGCCCCCCCCCCCAAGAAAGUCUUCUUUUAAAUGUUGCAAAUUGCAAAGCAGCAAACAUCCACCCAUGCUCAUGUAUAAACUCACUUUUUUUAUUUUCAUUCAAAUUAUGUCCUGGGUAGAAAUUCCCAGGUAGGGAUUCCUGGGCUGGGGGUGGGAUUUCUUUAAGCAUCAACACGGUUCCUCCCGGUUCUUCAGACAUCAAGACCUUUAGGUCCUGUUGAGGGUAAAAAAAAAAAAAAUCUGAAUUUCUGUGCCCUGAUUCCUCUGCUGCUCUUCCACCUCUUAAAUUGGGUUGGAAUGUGAUCUUUUCAUCAUGAAAUUUUAUUUUAAUUUUAAAACACUUCUGCACCUUCUUCCCUCCAUGUUUUCUUCUCUUCCUCCAUGUUUUAUUAGCUCUGCUUCUUACGGGCAUUGCUUAGGUCAUAGAGACCUUUUUCUUCUAACUGGCGGGCCCUCCACAAGUUUACAAUGUGGCGAUUUCUCCACAGUGAACUUAAAAAGAAAGAAGGAAGAGGUGGGCG
rnacentral:lncRNA from 1 species